rnacentral:rRNA from 1 species
AUGAAUGGUGGGAACUACGUGGCCGAAUUCUUUUUGAUAAACCACGACGUCGAGGAAAAGAUGGGAGCAGCAACGGCUCGCUCCCCCGACCCCGACCCUGCGCCCCUCCACCAGCCCUCACCGGCGGCGGCCACCCUCUCAGCGCCUCGCGUACUCCCUCGCCCACGGCCGCGGCCCCCUGCCUGUAGGAUUCGAGCGGAGAAUGGAGGUCAGAGGGAGGUCCAGAUCAACCGCUCGCGCUGCUCCAAGGCUGCGUCGACGACCACUCCGGCUCCGCCGCCCGCCGCCCCCGCCUCCAUUGUCGGCUCCGUCUCCACUGAGCCGCCGGAGCCUCGGGCGUCCCCCAAAGUUGGGCUCCCCCAGCUCGAUCCAGAUCAGGCGGAUCUGGAUUCCGUCUCCCUGUCGCCUCCGGCUGACCGGAGCCCUGCUCCUGCAGAUGUGACGGAGGUUCUGCUUGGGGCCAAGAGUGGCUGCACAGCCGUUGUUGGUGAGAAGGAGGUGGAGUUGGCUCUGCUGUUGCAUCCGGCGGCCACACAUGGCGUCGUCCCCUGUGUGCAGAUCCCGCCUUGCCCCGAUGUUGGGGAUGGGGCCGAAGUUGCUGCCUUGGUUACGCAGUCGUCGCCGGGUGAAGAUGCUGAGUUCGUGCCGUGCACGCCGCUGACCGUCGCCGAAGGCCUCACUUCCGGCGCUGCAAUGAUGGGGGAGCUGGCGCCGCUGGCGACGAAUGCUGCUGUGGAUUGUGUGUCAUCAGCUUCUUGCUUUUCCGUGCCGUCUUCUUGUGAUACAGCGCAGGCCGUGGAUGCUCAGCCUGGGGAAGGUCCUUGGAUUUUCGUAGGACGAAAGGGUCGUCCCCGUGGCGAUGUGCGUUGUGACCAUGCUUCUCAAUCUGCAAAGCUUGUGCAAGCUGCGGCCUUCAGACGGAGAACCUAUGGACGAUGUUUCCGCUGCUUGGCUCCGGACCACAAGGCCGCCUUCUGCCGCGACCCGAUUCGAUGCCUCACAUGUCUCCGCUCUGGGCACCGUGAGAGGGAUUGUUGCCUUCGCCUCUCCUCCGUCAGAGCUCCUCGCCGCUGUGCGCGUGCCUUUCCAGCUCCGCCAUGUCCGUCCUCUGAUAGCCGCUCUUGGGCUUCCGUUGUUGCUCCUGUAGUGCAUGCUGAAGUUCUCGAGUCUGUGAGGUUUUCUGAAGCUUCUAGUGGAGGUAGUUCUGAUCAUGAGGUUGUGGCAAAAUCUUCUGAAUCCUUGCUUGCCUCGAGUGGUUCUGAUCCUCAGGUCAUGAUGGAGCUGGCGCUCCGUCCAUUGCAUAAGCUUGAGGACUCUUUGUGCUUGUGGUUGGCACGUGCAACCAGCUUACUGGAGCGGGCGGAGGCAUCAGUUGGUCUGCAGGGGUCGUUGCCGACGACGCAGGCGGCGCUGGUGGCAAACCACAGGGACCAAGGUACUGAGGACAUUGGCAACACCAUGCAGCCGCUGACCUUGGGGUUAGUUGCUCCGGUGGUGACCACUGAGAUCAGCCUAGCUAGUUCUAUCUCCGAUGAAGUACAGGCUGUUGCAAAAGGCUGCGCUUUCGCGAUUGAUGAAGGUGACACUUUGCAUGACUUAACCGAGCUGAUCAAAUGCCUCAUUGCCAUGCCUGCGAUCACCCAGGGAUUGAUUCGCCUUGUCAAAGCGGAGCAGACCAAACAUGCCAACCAGGUGGUAUGUGCCGCCGUGAGGGUCAACUCUGCAACAUGUUAG